CCUACGGGAGGCAGCAGUGAGGAAUAUUGGUCAAUGGGCGCGAGCCUGAACCCGCCAAGUAGCGUGAAGGAUGACUGCCCUACGGGUUGUAAACUUCUUUUAUAAAUGCAUAAAGUGAGGCACGUGUGCCUUUUUGUAUGUACUUUAUGAAUAAGGAUUGGCUACCUCCGUGCCAGCAGCCGCGGUAAUACGGAGGAUCCGAGCGUUAUCCGGAUUUAUUGGGUUUAAAGGGAGCGUAGAUGGGUUUUUAAGGCAGUUGUGAAAGUUUGCGGCUCAACCGUAAAAUUGCAAUUGAUACUGGCAGCCUUGAGUACAGUUGAGGUAGGCGGAAUUCGUGGUGUAGCGGUGAAAUGCUUAGAUAGCACGAAGAACUCCGAUUGCGAAGGCAGCCUACUAAACUGCCACUGACAUUGAUGCUCGAAAGUGUGGGUAUCAAACAGGAUGAGAUACCCCUGUAGUC
rnacentral:rRNA from 1 species